rnacentral:rRNA from 1 species
AACGAACGCUGGCGGCAGGCUUAACACAUGCAAGUCGAGCGCCCCGCAAGGGGAGCGGCAGACGGGUGAGUAACGCGUGGGAAUCUACCUUUUGCUACGGAAUAACUCAGGGAAACUUGUGCUAAUACCGUAUGUGCCCUUCGGGGGAAAGAUUUAUCGGCAAAGGAUGAGCCCGCGUUGGAUUAGCUAGUUGGUGGGGUAAUGGCCUACCAAGGCGACGAUCCAUAGCUAGUCUGAGAGGAUGACCAGCCACACUGGGACUGAGACACGGCCCAGACUCUUACGGGAGGCAGCAGUGGGGAAUAUUGGACAAUGGGCGCAAGCCUGAUCCAGCCAUGCCGCGUGAGUGAUGACGGCCUUAGGGUUGUAAAGCUCUUUCACCCACGACGAUAAUGACGGUAGUGGGAGAAGAAGCCCCGGCUAACUUCGUGCCAGCAGCCGCCGUAACAC